rnacentral:rRNA from 1 species
UUAACUGGAGGGGAGUGGGGAUGACGUCAAGUCAUCAUGGCCCUUACGACCAGGGCUACACACGUGCUACAAUGGCAUAUACAAAGAGAAGCGACCUCGCGAGAGCAAGCGGACCUCAUAAAGUAUGUCGUAGUCCGGAUUGGAGUCUGCAACUCGACUCCAUGAAGUCGGAAUCGCUAGUAAUCGUAGAUCAGAAUGCUACGGUGAAUACGUUCCCGGGCCUUGUACACACCGCCCGUCACACCAUGGGAGUGGGUUGCAAAAGAAGUAGGUAGCUUAACCUUCGGGAGGGCGCUUACCACUUUGUGAUUCAUGACUGGGGUGAAGUCGUAACAAGUACG